rnacentral:rRNA from 1 species
GACGAACGCUGGCGGCGUGCCUAAUACAUGCAAGUCGAACGCAUUUUCUUUCACCGUAGCUUGCUACACCGAAAGAAAAUGAGUGGCGAACGGGUGAGUAGCACGUGGGUAACCUGCCCAUCAGCGGGGGAUAACACUUGGAAACAGGUGCUAAUACCGCAUAAUUCCAUUUACUGCAUGGUAGAUGGAUGAAGGGCGCUUUUGCGUCACUGAUGGAUGGACCCGCGGUGCAUUAGCUAGUUGGUGGGGUAACGGCCUACCAAGGCUGCGAUGCAUAGCCGACCUGAGAGGGUGAUCGGCCACACUGGGACUGAGACACGGCCCAGACUCCUACGGGAGGCAGCAGUAGGGAAUCUUCGGCAAUGGACGCAAGUCUGACCGAGCAACGCCGCGUGAGUGAAGAAGGUUUUCGGAUCGUAAAACUCUGUUGUUAGAAAAGAACAAGGAUGAGAGUGGAAAGUUCAUCCCUUGACGGUAUCUAACCAGAAAGCCACGGCUAACUACGUG